AUGGAUCCCGUUUUUUUGACUUUCAAAUGAUAACUUCUCUUGGGUUACCAAGGAAAUCAAUUGUGUCCUCUCUAUGACUGUACUGCUGUUCUUUCUGUUCUGCUAUUAGGUUCUUAGGAAUUGUGGGAGUUGAAGUCCAAAACACCUGGAGGGCUGAAGUUUUCCCAUGCCUGUUACAAGGCCAAAAAUACACAAUUGUAAAUUGUAAUGAAAAGAUAGCUAAAGGAUUUAAAAGAACAAUGUGCUUGUUUAAAAUACUUCUAUACAAUACAAGUGACAAAAUUUAUAGACAUAUUCUCUACAGCCAUACUAUAAGAAAGGCAGAAGAGGCCCCACAGUGUCCAGCUGCAAUGGAUUCACUUAAGGCAUCUUAUGACUUGAGAGAGCUCUGUAAUCCUCGCCAAUGCCCCAGUCUACAGCACCUCAGAAGCUCUUCAGCUGGGACACUAUCAACCUUAGGAGUUCAAAGAAUAUAUGGAUACAGUGAAAAUCCCCUCAAUUCUCACUUAUCAAACAGCAACCACUGCAAGCAACAGAAGUCUGUUCCACUGUUGAUCAGUAAGCAGGUCGUUGACAUUCCCACCUUCACCCCUAUGACUGCAAGGGGGAAUUGUGGAAGAAACUCUGCUUCUAACUGUCACACUAAAUAUCGCUCAAGGAAUAGAGUGGCAAAACAUCCGUAAGAUUUUUCUCUAUGACAGGGGAACAGACCCUUGCCACUCACACUGCUGCCCCACAAGUGAGGAUGGGUGGGAGAGCUGGGAGAUACUACUUAGCUACAUGACUAAGAUGCUACUUAGCUAAGUAGGUGGUACCAAGUCGCAGCCUGCAAAUCUCUGAACAUUUUGGUGUAUGCGCUUUUAACAAUGGAAACCCUGUUAAACAUAUAAUGUGUAAGGUUAAAAUGCAGAAUAUCAUUUUAACCUAGUGUUUCAUGUUUUGUUGGUGUCAUUAACACUUCAGCUGCUACAAUAAUGUAUUGAAACUACAAAAGAAUAGAUCUAAUGCAUUUUACACACUUAUUCAAGCAUGAUAUAACAAUGUACAUGUGCCAACAUAAAACCCCCCAAAAUGAAUUAAGAGAAAUUUUUGCAUGUAAUAAUUACAGAAAUAAAGUAAAACUCUAAUUAUAUUAUCUAGCUAAGUUAUCUUCAUUAUUUCUCAAUCCUGAAUCCAGCUGCAAUUCCAGAUUACAAAAUAGGAACCACUUU
rnacentral:lncRNA from 1 species